rnacentral:misc_RNA from 1 species
UAAUCCUCAACCCUCGGGUUGGACUUGGACGUUGCGGUGCCUCGUCUCCGCUCAUCUCAAACUCAUUAGGGCUAUUUGAUCCGCCUGUCAGCGUUUAGUAACGCUUGCACCGCGCCAAGGUUCGAUGCCCUCUACGCCGCCUCUCGAAGGCGCGCUUGAAU